GGCGGCAUGCUUUACACAUGCAAGUCGAACGGCAGCACGGGGGCAACCCUGGUGGCGAGUGGCGAACGGGUGAGUAAUGCAUCGGAACGUACCGUGUAAUGGGGGAUAACGAGUCGAAAGACUUGCUAAUACCGCAUACGCCCUGGGGGAAAGUGGGGGAUCGCAAGACCUCACGUACGAGCGGCCGAUGCCGGAUUAGCUAGUUGGUAGGGUAAAGGCCUACCAAGGCGACGAUCCGUAGCUGGUGAGAGGACGACCAGCCACACUGGGACUGAGACACGGCCCAGACUCCUACGGGAGGCAGCAGUGGGGAAUUUUGGACAAUGGGGGCAACCCUGAUCCAGCCAUGCCGCGUGAGUGAAGAAGGCCUUCGGGUUGUAAAGC
rnacentral:rRNA from 1 species